rnacentral:misc_RNA from 1 species
CGAGUCAACAGGUUCAAAACCAAUUCAGAUUCCAUGAAUAUUAAGGCUGAUGCAAAGAUAAGAUACUUAACUAUGUUCCAUUUCCACCCCAUUCCUCCUCUCGCUUUUCCCUGCUUCUCUCACCUAGUAAGUUGGAACUAAGUUUUUUCUGGCAUAAGAAAGAAAAUGUUACGUUUAACUAUUGAAGUGUAAACCUCCAGCAGGGCCAAUAAGAGUUACAUCUAAGUGGGUGACUUCAGCUAUUAGACCACUCCGUCAAUUGCAACCAAAUGAAUGAAAUCUACGCUACUUGUCCACGAGUUGCUCAUAUCAGUCUGUCUUUUUAUCUGGUUCAUCAAGUGCAACCAGUCUUUCAACUAGAGGAGGAUGUGAAUAGUGAUAUGCUGAGUACCAAGGAU